UACGGAGGGUGCAAGCGUUAUCCGGAUUCACUGGGUUUAAAGGGUGCGUAGGCGGGUAAGUAAGUCCGUGGUGAAAUCUCUGAGCUUAACUCAGAAACUGCCGUGGAUACUAUUUGCCUUGAAUAUUGUGGAGGUGAGCGGAAUAUGUCAUGUAGCGGUGAAAUGCUUAGAUAUGACAUAGAACACCAAUUUCGAAGGCAGCUCACUACACAAUCAUUGACGCUGAGGCACGAAAGCGUGGGGAUCAAACAGG
rnacentral:rRNA from 1 species